GUACUGUGAAGCAUCCUGUUAAGUCAGGCAACGAGCGAGACCCACGCCAACAGUUGCCAGCAUGUCCUCCGGGAUGAUGGGGACACUGUUGGGACGCCUCUGCUAAAGAGGAGGAAGGAAUGGGCAACGGUAGGUCAGCAUGCCCCGAAUUAUCCGGGCUACACGCGGGCUACAAUGGUCAGGACAAUGGGUAUCGACACCGAGAGGUGGAGGCAAUCUCCUAAACCUGUCCUUAGUUCGGAUUGUGGGCUGCAACUCGCCCACAUGAAGCUGGAAUCCGUAGUAAUCGCGUUUCAAAAUAGCGCGGUGAAUAUGUCCCUGCUCCUU
rnacentral:rRNA from 1 species